rnacentral:rRNA from 1 species
AACGAACGCUGGCGGCGUGGAUAAGACAUGCAAGUCGGGCGAGACUUUUCGUUGUAGCAAUACGAUGGAAAGUCUAGUGGCGAACGGGUGCUUAACACGUGGCAACCUGCCAGGAAGUGGGGGACAGCUCGCCGAAAGGCGGAUUAAUACCGCAUGUGAUUAGAGAGGACAUCUUUUCGAAAUUAAAGUCGGGGCAACCUGACGCUUCUUGUGGGGCCCGCGGCCUAUCAGCUAGUUGGUGAGGUAACGGCUCACCAAGGCUUUGACGGGUAGCUGGUCUGAGAGGACGACCAGCCACACUGGGACUGAGACACGGCCCAGACACCUACGGGUGGCAGCAGUCGAGAAUUUUUGACAAUGGGGGAAACCCUGAUCGAGCGACGCCGCGUGGAGGAUGAAGGUCUUCGGAUUGUAAACUCCUGUCAUUGGGGAACAAUGCGCAAAUAGUAACUGUAUUUGUGUUGAUAGUACCCGAAGAGGAAGAGACGGCUAACUCUGUGCCAGCAGCCGCGGUAAAAC